GGCAUUGUGGCUUAGUGGUAGAGUGCUUGCCUAGCAUGCAUGAAGCCCUGGGUUCGAUUCCUCAGGGCCA
rnacentral:tRNA from 1 species